rnacentral:misc_RNA from 1 species
GUUAGUUUUGAGCUUGGCUUUGAAACUCAGCCUGAAACACUGGUUAUUCAGGAUGCUGUUAGAGUCCUAUUGCAGGGUUUGGGUGAAGAUAUCAAUAGGGAAGGAAUCAAGAAAACCCCUUUUCGUGUUGCUAAGGCUCUAAGACAAGGAACAAGAGGUUACAAACAAAAAGUGAAUGAUAUUGUUCAUGGCGCAUUAUUCCCUGAAGCUGGAUUGGAGGGUGGAA